rfam:Camelus ferus unplaced genomic scaffold scaffold638, whole genome shotgun sequence.
GAGGGUACAGCUCAGUGGUAAAGUGCGUGCUUAGCAUGCACGAGGUCCUGGGUACAAUCCUCAGUACCUCCA